rnacentral:rRNA from 1 species
UACGUAGGGGGCUAGCGUUGUCCGGAAUCAUUGGGCGUAAAGCGCGCGUAGGCGGCCCGGUAAGUCCGUUGUGAAAGUCAAAGGCUCAACCUUUGAAAGCCGAUGGAUACUGCCGGGCUGGAGUCCGGAAGAGGCGAGUGGAAUUCCUGGUGUAGCGGUGAAAUGCGCAGAUAUCAGGAGGAACACCAAUUGCGAAGGCAGCUCGCUGGGACGUUACUGACGCUGAGACGCGAAAGCGUGGGGAGCAAACAGG